CUGUAAGAGAGAGAGCUAGCGCGCGAUCUGCGCACUCAGAGUUACUCUUACUGAUUUCUGGAGUCUACAACUUACUCUUUGGAACUUGUUUGGGCACGCAGCUCUGCACAACGGAGACCAAAAUGUCUUUAGGGUUUGGUUGUUAUUGUUUACCGGCGAGCACGUUGCGUGGUGUGAGUGGGGCGGAACACAAACGCUACAGUUUUAAAAUACGACAUAUGGGCGUAAGUGGAGUUAAACCCCUUCGUCAUAUUAUAUACCGUCCUUACGUGAGUUAGGUCCAAACCUAUUUGCGGAAUGGUGACGAAUUGUAUCAUCGAAUAGCAUAUAAAAAAAGUUCAGGACAAGUUCUGCAAAUUUCUAGUUCAUUAAAAUGGGUAUGAACAGUCACAUUGGUAAGAUGAACAAUAUUGCAUUAAUUUAUGUUCUUUUUAAUUUGUUGAAUUGUAAAAUCUUCUUUUCUUUUGAGUAGAGUUUCAUAAAAAAAUCCUAACUAGAGCUACACUCUAACCACAGAACAGAAAGAGGAAAAAAAUCCUUGGUCUGUUUUCUGUGACUAACUCUUUUAUGUUUCUUGUGUUGUGUGGGUUUUUUGUUGUUGUUAGUAUUUUAAUUUUUUAUUAGAUGGCGUUUGUAAGUUGUAAAUAAAUUAAGAAAUAAGUCUACUCAGGGGAAAAAAAGAACAAUUAUUAU